rnacentral:rRNA from 1 species
AACGAACGCUGGCGGCAUGCCUAACACAUGCAAGUCGAACGAGACCUUCGGGUCUAGUGGCGCACGGGUGCGUACCGCGUGGGAACCUGCCCUUAGGUUCGGAAUAACUCCCCGAAAGGGGUGCUAAUACCGGAUAAUGUCUUCGGACCAAAGAUUUAUCGCCUUUGGAUGGGCCCGCGUUGGAUUAGCUAGUUGGUAGUGUAAAAGCCUACCAAGGCGACGAUCCAUAGCUGGUCUGAGAGGAUGAUCAGCCACACUGGGACUGAGACACGGCCCAGACUCCUACGGGAGGCAGCAGUGGGGAAUAUUGGACAAUGGGCGAAAGCCUGAUCCAGCAAUGCCGCGGGAGUGAUGAAGGCCUUAGGGUUGUAAAGCUCUUUUACCCGGGAUGAUAAUGACAGUACCGGGAGAAUAAGCUCCGGCUAACUCCGUG